UUUUUUUUUGGUUUUGAGU
rnacentral:sRNA from 1 species